UACAGGGGGGGGCAAGCGUUGUUCGGAAUUACUGGGCGUAAAGGGCUCGUAGGUGGCCAACUAAGUCAGACGUGAAAUCCCUCAGCUUAACUGGGGAACUGCGUCUGAUACUGGAUGGCUUGAGUUUGGGAGAGGGAUGCGGAAUUCCAGGUGUAGCGGUGAAAUGCGCAGAUAUCGGGAAGAACACCCGGUGGCGAAGGCGGGUCUCUGGGACGGUACUGACGCUGAGGAGCGAAAGCGUGGGGAGCGAAACAGG
rnacentral:rRNA from 1 species